rnacentral:lncRNA from 1 species
AUUAAAUAUUAGCAAAGAACUUAAAAAUCUCAGAAUCAGUUCUGCUCUAUUUGACUCUACCAUUGUAAAGAGUUCUAUGUAUAUUCUUUUUUUUUUUUUUUUUUUAAGUGUAAGUAUGGACUUUAUUUUUUUAAAAAAAAGUCUUUUGAGAACUACAAAUUACAAAGUAAAAGCAGAUCACUACGUAGAAAUCUAGUGAAUACAUUUUGCCUGUGCAUGAAAAACUUUAUCAAAGUUACUAUACCUUUAUUUCAAAUUAUAUUACAUGUU